rnacentral:rRNA from 1 species
GACGAACGCUUGCGGCGUGCCUAAGAAAUGCAAGUCGAGCGGAGAAGUAGCAAUACUUCUUAGCGGCGAACGGUCGCGUAACACGUAAGCAACCUGCCGAAAAGACCGGGACAACAUCUCGAAAGGGGUGCUAAUACCGGAUGUGGCCACUUUCUCGCAUGGGAGAGUGAUUAAACCGAGCAAUCGGCUUUUCGAGGGGCUUGCGGCCUAUCAGCUAGAUGGUGGGGUAACGGCCACCAUGGCGACGACGGGUAGCUGGUCUGAGAGGACGGCCAGCCGGACUGGGACUGAGAUACGGCCCAGACUCCUACGGGGGGCAGCAAUUAGGAAUCUUGCACAAAUGGGGCGAAAAGCCUGAAUGCAGCGACGCCGCGUGGAGGAGGAAGGCCU